rnacentral:rRNA from 1 species
GACGAACGCUGGCGGCGUGCUUAACACACGCAAGUCGUACGCUGAAGCCUGCUUCGGUGGGUGGAUGAGUGGCGAACGGGUGAGUAACACGUGGGUAAUCUGCCUUGUACUCUGGGAUAAGCCCGGGAAACUGGGUCUAAUACCGGAUAGGACUGCUACUCGCAUGGGGAGUGGUGGCAAGCUCCGGCGGUAUGCGUUGAGCCCGCGGCCUAUCAGCUUGUUGGUGGGGGGAUGGCCUACCAAGGCGGUGGCGGGUAGCCGGCCGGAGAGGGGGACCGGCCACACUGGGACUGAGACACGGCCCAGACUCCUACGGGAGGCAGCAGUGGGGAAUAUUGCACAAUGGGCGCAAGCCUGAUGCAGCGACGCCGCGUGAGGGAUGACGGCCUUCGGGUUGUAAACCUCUUUCGCCAGGGACGAAGGGUGAUACUGACGGUACCUGGAGAAGAAGCACCGGCUAACUACGUGCCAGCAGCCGCCGUAAUAC